GAAUUAAAAUGUCGCGACAUUUUUGCAUUAAUUAUUUUGGUUCUAUUUGAUCGCUAUUUUUAAAAAUGUGCUAAAAUAUACUUGUCUACUAAAUGCAAUUGAAAGUAAAAUCAUCGCCAAGAAAAAAGGCAGAAAAAAACCCGUGUUUUGUGCAGUUUUUGGAAACAUUUUUUUGGCUGAAAUGUUCCAUCAAAAACGGCAACGGUUUGAGAGAAAACCUUUGUGGAAUUCACAUUCAAUUUUUGGAUUUACGGAUCUUGAGAGUGUAAGACGCCAUUUCAACACCACUUACUACCUCCCAAAAUUGUUCGCCAAGUUGCACUACUGCGUCUAAUGCGCCAUUCACUCGAAAGUUGUGCGUAACAGAUCGAAGGAAGCCCGUCGUAUCCGUACACCACCACAAUGUACAUUCGCACGUGAUGUUGCCCAUCAACAACAAUAAGCCAGAAAGUGAAUCACUUUUUCUUUGGAUGCAAAUAAAUUUUUUCAACAAUUUAUGUUAAAAA